rnacentral:lncRNA from 1 species
AAAGUGGAGUAAAAAAACACUAAAAAAAUUUAGGUACAAAUCACAUUUAAAAUAUAUAUCGUAAACAACAAUAAUUCUGUCAAAAACAUAUCACGGUGACUAUCAAAUCUAAUAAAAUUUUACAUAUCUUUUCCAGAGUUUAUCAUUGCAGUCAAGAAGAUCUCAUAUUGUUGUUUGAAGUCAAAGAUCCUAUAUACAGAUACAGGUCUUCAGAAAACCGAGACGGUCAAUGAACACAAGUUGGAAACGUUUUGUUCCGUCUGACGUAGACUUAAGGAGCGCGAACGAAAUCAUUGUGUGAUUUCUGAACUCGAUACAUAUUACACCACCGUGGUGUCUCAAGACUACCUACAGGAGGGCGAUAAGUAUGCGAUUUAUGUGUUCCUCAGCGAUAUUUGUUGUGUGAGUUCGCGCAUGUCACAACUUGCCGCGGAUUGCAUCAGCAAUGCUUUCGAGUGCUGCGGUGCGGUAGCCCAUUGUUGCGUACCUACCGCGUAUUAUCGUAUGGCACGCACGAUCUGUUUCCACUUACUACCACCCCGUUACUUUCGUCGCGCCUCGCCCAUACUUCUUCGGUCAAUUCGCCGCCGCUCGAUCGGCCGCAACGAUGGGAAAGGUACACACGCUUGCUACUGUUGUUCCCGAUGCAACAAUGAAUACCAGGAAGUUUUAGUACCUAGGAUUAUUAUACGUGUUAAGAAGUUUAACGCAUACCGGAUGUUUGUACACAAACUCCAAUUUCCCAGUUUCUAACUCUCCGCUCUCUAAGCUUUUAAUUCGUAACUCGCAACUUUCAACCAUCAAACUGCUCAGUGAAUAUUCACUAAAAAAAUAUGAUCAGUAUAAUAGAUAUAAUGUGCUACAAAAUAAAUAAUUCUCUCGUAUAAAAUCUGUCGCUAUAAAUUUUUCGAUUUGUUAAUUUAAGACAUUCACUAUCAAAUAUUCGGCAGAAAUUACAACCUGAUAUGAUUAGCUUUUUUUUUAAUUGUUACAACACAAUCAAAACUUUUGUAUACGACAGUCAUCAGACACUUAAAGAUUUUUCACGGCUUAGCCCGCGGAACGGACUCCUUGCAGGUGAAGGCGCGACGAGGCAUGGCGCGUCCCGGAAGUAGGUGCGUCCAACGUAGUUCCUCCUUUCGAGGCCAGGAGGUUCCUAAUGGUCUCGCUAUUCGCUAUUGUCGUUACGCGCUCAAUAUUAACAACUGUAUUUCGUUAUCUUGUCGCACCCACACUUUUUGUUAUGCACAUCGAUAAACGUGUGUAAAAGAAAACGUAAAAAAAGAAAGAAAAACUGUUAUUUAAAAAAAAUGAAUAAAUGUCACACAUAGUGUAUAAGUAUGAUAAAACCUAGUUAUCAGCAAAUUCGUAAUCCCGUGGUAAUAGUCCAAAUUUUUAAAGCUUGGAUUUGUAUAUGUGUAUGUGUGUGUGUGUGUGUGUGUGUGUGUGUAAAGAAAUGAUUAUUAAUUUACGUAGAAAAAGUUCUUUAAAAAAUUAUAUUCAAAUCAUCUUUUCACUCAAAUUCAUUUGCUUCAAAAUUUAUCUAUUAACUAGGUAUUAAAUUAAAUAAAUGUAUUAUAGAACGCUAAAAAAGAAAAGAGAGAGUGUGUGGCCGAGGACAGGCGAGGUGCGCGCAGAGGGAGAGAGGAGAAGUCGGUCGUAAUCUGUGGGAGAGGACGAAGAGGCAGCCAGGCAUGUCCGAAGGAAAGGAAGCUCCGCGGACCUCAGUUCCGCUCGUUCUCGUCUUCCUAUCCGAUUCUCUCUUUCUCUCUCUUUCUUUCUCCACCUCCUCCAAGUGCUCGUACGAGCGACUGAUUUCGAGUCGUGUGUACUACUGUACUACGACAACCGUCUCGUCGUGCGUUCGCCAAGGCGUGGGUGUGUGCGUAUGCACGCGCAUGUUGCACGCCCGUAGAGAAGCGACACACUCCGCUACCUCUUCUAGGCCACUUACCUUCUCCCUCCCAAUCCUGUGGGACGCGAGGACGAUUCGUUCGAGAGAUCGAACGUCCAAUGUUACGCACGGCGACCUGGGUUUAUUUGACUAUUUGAGCUAAGCUUCGAAGAAACUCAAUUGUCAACGAAAUAUCUUGUGAACAUAAGUUACGAAAAUAAAAAGAUUUCUUUUUUACAACAACGUAAAAAGUCAGAACAUACAGAAACUAGAAUACUUAUAAGUAAAAAGGCUAAUCUAUCUAUAGAAAACGUGAAAAAAUUGUUUUUUUUUUGUUUCUUCAUAGUCAUAAAUAUUUCAAAACUUUUUUAAAAGUCAAAUUUAGAUUAAAACUUGAAAUGGAAUAUCUUAUAAUAAAUAAAAUUUGAGAAAUAUGUAUUGUCUUCGAGGUAAAGACGACUUGUUUACGCUUCGGCAAACCGUUGCUUGGCGCACAACGGCGAUCUUGUCCGUGUCCAGAGCGGGAAAAUGUUAAUUUGCAUAAAUGAUCGAGGGAUCUCCCCGUAUCCCGGAAAACGGGUGAAUGCAACGUGACACUAAUGCCGUCUUUCGCAUAGUAAUCGAGGAAGCGAUAGUUUCCUGGAACGCAGGUCUUCUCUUUAAUCGGUAAUUCGACUCCCGGUAAUACGACACACACUUGUCCAAGAUAUUCAGCGCAUGCAUUUAUGUCGUAAAAUUAUAAUCGAAUAUUUUUGUCAACAAGCUAUUUACGGUUAAUCCCUAUUUAUGAGCCAUCAGUAAUUUAAACCAUCCAAAAAAUGUCAGACACUUGAUAUACCCGCCUCAUCCCCAAAAGAGAUCUAUUUAAAAUUUACUUCAAAUAUUAAUAAUCUUAAUAUUAAAAGCUGUCAAAAAUAUAAAAUAAAACAAGCGUCAAGAAAUAAUUAAGAAAUGUUAAUAUUUCCUUCACAUAUAUUCUCUGAGUUAAAUAAGAGUAAGCAUUUCAAAUGUUUCAAGAUCAAUGAUAAAAAUCUCUUUACUUUUGAACGUCUUUUUAAAUUUGUGCAUCUUCUUUCAAAUUUUUCGACUAUACUCGACUGCAAUUAGAUCAUCGCUUCUUCGAUUUUUCUGUCUGAUAUCAUGUCUACUCAUUGUUGAUGUCCUCUCCAGUCUCUUUGCCCUUUCGGCGUGGGCAGCCUGCUUACGUGUUUUCGCGUUCAUAUGAGAAGAAAGCAUAAAGGAGGGAAAGAGAAAGAGAGAUCCCGGACGCCUGCAUCACCGAAGAAUGCUGUGUAAUGAUGCUGCAUAUCCGGGACGACGGUUGGAACACCCUUCCCCGCACCCUUCUCCCUCUGCCCACCUUCUCGCCGUCGUCAUCGUCGGCGUUCUCCACUCUCUGUCCUUUCUACUUUGUGCUCUCGGCUUCCGAGGCGCUUCUGUGGUGUGGCACAGGCCGAGAAGCGCAUGGUGGCGUAAUCGCUCUCGAGAGAAGAGGCUGCUCUUCCUUCGGUCGGCGAUGCAACGCCGACAGUCGAGAGGCAAAGAGAGAGGAAGAGACCGGAUUCCAGUAAAGGUCUCGUCAAUGUUGUUCGACACACAAUCGGUGGGAUGCACGCGCCCGUCCUGAUUACCCCGGAUCGAAAGCGCCGAACGUUCGGAGGGACAUUCUGCCUGUGGUAUAUCGUUUAGACAUACCACCAAUCGAACGCGGGAUGAAAAAUGACAUGGAAGAAAGGUAUUGCGGGGGAGAAACAUAACCGAUCUCCUCGCCGUUGUUGGAGUUGCCUUCAACUUGCUACGGAAGGUAACAAAAGAUGACGAGAGGGAGGAGAAACUUCAACGAGGGUCGCGAGGGUGAAGCCUGCCCUGCCUCUUUUUCCUGUCGGUUCUAUCUUCCACUUGUUGCCUAACUUCAUCUGGUUCUCGUCUUACGUGACGGGCUUUUGAAAAUCGAAUCGUCACGGUCGUCCGCGGACGGGGAAAUGUUUUCGUUCGUCCUGUGCUAUGCCCAUAGGGAGUAUAACCGUCCCCGUGGCGCAAAUGUCACAAGAAAAAUCAGAGGAAGUUUGAUAAGGGAGAAUCUUUGUUAAGAUUCAUAAGUUAAGUCCAUGAUCACUAAUGAGCAUUUCAACAGUAAGUCGAUAAUUUCCGCAAAAAGUCGCGGAAAAAUGGCAAAACUUUAUCAUUUUAUAACUCAAAUUUAUCAUAUUUUUCGCAUUGCACUGUGUUAAAUCAAUAUUUCAAUGCCUUAGAUACAGAACCAUGUAACAGUAAAUUAAGCUCCUAAUUAAGAAUAAACGGUGUAUCGAAUAAAAUAACAAUACGUACG